UACGUAGGGGGCUAGCGUUGUCCGGAAUCAUUGGGCGUAAAGAGCGUGUAGGCGGCCCGGUAAGUCCGCUGUGAAAGUCGGGGGCUCAACCCUCGGAUGCGGGUGGAUACUGCCGGGCUAGAGUGCGGAAGAGGCGAGUGGAAUUCCUGGUGUAGCGGUGAAAUGCGCAGAUAUCAGGAGGAACACCAAUUGCGAAGGCAGCUCGCUGGGACGUUACUGACGCUGAGACGCGAAAGCGUGGGGAGCAAACAGG
rnacentral:rRNA from 1 species